rnacentral:lncRNA from 1 species
GUUACAGCCUCAUAACAACAGAGAUCACAGUAGAUUACAGCCUCACAACAACAGAGAUCACAGUAGGUUACAGCCUCAUAACAACAGAGAUCACAGUAGAUUACAGCCUCAUAACAACAGAGAUCACAGUAGAUUACAGUCCCAUAACAACAGAGAUCACAGUAGGUUACAGCCUCAUAACAACAGAGAUCAAAGUAGGUUACAGCCUCACAACAACAGAGAUCACAGUAGGUUACAGCCUCAUAACAACAGAGAUCAAAGUAGAUUACUGUCCCAUAACAACAGAGAUCACAGUAGAUUACAGCCUCACAACAACAGAGAUCACAGUAGGUUACAGCCUCACAACAACAGAGAUCACAGUAGAUUACUGUCCCAUAACAACAGAGAUCAUAGUUGGAUACGGCCUCAUAACAACAGAGAUCACAGUAGAUUACAGCCCCAUAACAACAGAGAUCACAGUAGAUUACUGUCCCAUAACAACAGAUAUCACAGUAGAUUACAGGCUCACAACAACAGAGAUCACAGUAGAUUACAGCCUCAUAACAACAGAGAUCACAGUAGAUUACAGCCUCACAACAACAGAGAUCACAGUAGGUUACAGCCUCACAACAACAGAGAUCACAGUAGAUUACUGUCCCAUAAAAACAGAGAUCACAGUAGAUUACAGUCCCAUAA